rnacentral:rRNA from 1 species
AACGAACGCUGGCGGCAGGCUUAACACAUGCAAGUCGAACGGGUGUAGCAAUACAUCAGUGGCAGACGGGUGAGUAACACGUGGGAACCUUCCUAGGGGUACGGAACAACUCAGGGAAACUUGAGCUAAUACCGUAUACGUCCGUGAGGAGAAAGAUUUAUCGCCCUUAGACGGGCCCGCGUCGGAUUAGGUAGUUGGUGGGGUAACGGCCUACCAAGCCUACGAUCCGUAGCUGAUCUUAGAGGAUGAUCAGCCACACUGGGACUGAGACACGGCCCAGACUCCUACGGGAGGCAGCAGCGGGGAAUCUUGGACAAUGGGCGCAAGCCUGAUCCAGCCAUGCCGCGUGAGUGAAGAAGGCCUUAGGGUUGUAAAGCUCUUUUACCAGGGACGAUAACGACGGUACCUGGAGAAUAAGCCCCGGCAAACUUCGUGCCAGCCGCCGCCGUAACAC